GAUGAAGAACGUAGUGAAAUGCGAUACGUAAUGUGAAUUGCAGAAUUCAGUGAAUCAUCGAAUCUUUGAACGCAUAUUGCGCUCUUUGGUAUUCCGAAGAGCAUGCUUGUUUGAGUAUCAGUAAACACCUCAACCUCUUCUUGAUUUUUCAAAAGGAGGGUGGACUUGAGCUAUCCCAACAACCUUUACCGGUCGGCGGGCGGCUUGAAAUGCAGGUGCAGCUGGACUUUUAUCUGAGCUAAAAGCAUAUCUAUUUAGUCCUCGUCAAACAGGAUUAUUACUUUUGCUGCAGCUAACAUAAAGGAUAAUUGUCCUCUUUGCUGACUGAUGCAGGAUUUUACGACACUUUAUGUGUUGUUCAACUCGAUCUCAAAUCAAGUAAGACUACCCGCUGAACUUAAGCAUAUCAAUAAGCUGAGGA
rnacentral:misc_RNA from 1 species